rfam:Bacillus weihaiensis strain Alg07 chromosome, complete genome.
AAUUUAAAUAUCGCUAUACCGUAGACAGUAGGUGCUUUCAUAGGCUUAAUUUUCCUACCGAGGUGUAUUACCAAUAGAAGCAUUUUGCUUGUUGUUGAAUAUACAAACCUCCAUGUCUAAUUGGAGGUUUUUCUAUGACCAC